rnacentral:rRNA from 1 species
GACAGAGGUGCCGAGCGUUAGGCGGAAUCACUGGGCUUAAAGCGUGUGUAGGCGGAUUCCUAAGUACCUUGUGAAAUCCCAUGGCUCAACCAUGGAACUGCUUGGUAUACUGGGUGUCUUGAGCCAACUAGGGGCUACCGGAACAAAUGGUGGAGCGGUGAAAUGCGUAGAUAUCAUUUGGAACGCCAAUGGUGAAAACAGGUAGCUGGGGCUGUGCUGACACUGAGACACGAAAGCCAGGGGAGCAAACGGG